AGAGGAAGCCGGUGAGAAUCCGGCGCGGUCCCGCCACUGUCACCGGGGAGCGGCCUCCCAUCGCCUGUACGGGGUCACGGCUCGUCCGUACGGUUCGUCGCGUACGUGGGGCUGGAAGACCGGGAGGGCCGCGGAUCCGGGAGCCAGGAGACUC
rfam:Streptomyces autolyticus strain CGMCC0516, complete genome.